CUAUUGCGAAAUCGCAGCAACCCUUGACCAUCCACAUGAAAGUCACCAGUAUGUCCCUCAAUGAUUUUAGAUCGGAUCCAUUGCAAUUCUACAUCGAGAACUUGCUUUUCCUUUAUCCUGUCCAGCAAAGUAGGUUGUACCACCAAUGACAUUAACCGCAAAGGCGUAUCGGGAGUUACUACUUCCAACUUCAACCGUUUCAUCUCUUCUAUCAACGGUGGUUACGAGGCUACAAGCCUUGCCAAAUUUUCAGUCGACUUGCGACUUAGAGCGUCCGCCUAAUGCAUCUAACAUAAGUAUGCAUGAUUUCUAAUUUCACAAUAUUAACAAAGACAUAGGGGGAGUUCACUAAUUUCGGUGAGGUCAAACCCACCGGAUACUCCUCGGACUCCUUCGUUUGUUCAAACGAAGAUGCCUUUUAGCCUUCUAGCAUCCUAACAACAAUUCUAAAUGAAUUAGGAGCUUCUAAUAAGCCUCCCACGAAAUCCUCAAAAUUCAACCCAAAAAUGGAUAGAAAAAUAUCUUAAAUAGAGAAGAACUCUAUUCCUCACUCCACCUGAGGUUGGGAUGCUUCACUUCCAACCUAAAAGAGAGUUUAACCAUCACCAAUUAAAUUCUAAAAACUCAGCUAAGAACAAUCCCACACUAAACUCCAAUUCUAACACCACAACCAAAAACACAUACCAAAGAUGGCGAUUAAGUGGCUAGCCUUCAAAAGCUCCAACCAAGCCAACCUUGAGCUAGGGUUGGAGGUUUAUUCUCAAAAGUUCUCCCUCCUUCUCUUCCUCAACUCCUCCAAGAACCCCAAGACCAGCUACCAUAGAGAAAAGAGGAGAAAAGGAGAUCAAUUCUACCAAUUCCCACAAAAAAUGGGAAGAAAAUCUAGAGAGAGAAAGAGAAGAGCUCACCCUGGUGUUUCUCUACUCCCAGCAUGAGAAUGACCAGUUGGAGUGGUUGGGGAUAAACAGAGCUGCAAAAAGUACCAAAAGAUCCCUUACUACUUCAAAAAAAUAUUCUGUCACAUCUAGUACCUGUACUCGAGUUGAAGUACCGGUACCCAGCACUCAAACAUGCAAAACCCGAGCACGGGAUCUUCGGGUUUAAUGCAAUGUACCGGUACUAGCCCGAUGCAGUAUCAGUACCCAACCUAGUACCGGUACUCACCGACUCAGUACCGGUACUCAACACCCACAUCUCAAACCCGAGAGCAAUCUAUUCUGGCAACCCCCUCAGGUUCUCAUACCCUAAUCCCGGAUGGUAAAGAAUCGUCAGAUCAUAAUUCUUGAGCAACUCCAGCCAUCAGCGCUGUCUCAAGUUCAGCUCCUUCUGUGUGAACAGAUACUUCAAACUCUUGUGAUUAGUAUACACCUUGCACCGCUCGCCAUAGGUAGUGAUGCCAUAGCUUUAAUGCAAAGAUUACGGCCACCAACUCCAAAUCAUGUAUAGGGUAGUUCUUUUCAUAAUCUUUCAAUUAGCGAGAAGCACAAGCAAUCACCUUUCUGUUCUGCAUCAAAACGCAUCCGAAUCCACUAAAUGAAGUAUCACUGUAAAUCACAUACCCUACUCUAGUAAUCGGCAAUGCCAAAAUCGGGGCGGUUGUCAACCGUUCUUUCAAUUCUUGAAAGCUUCUAUCACACAUGUCAUUCCACACAAACUUGGUGCCUUUAUGUGUAAGCCGCGUGAGGGGAGUAGAUAACUUAGCAAAGCUCUCAACGAACCUCCAGUAGUAUCCUGCUAGAUCGAGAAAACUCCGAAUCUCGGUGACAUUAGUCAGUCUAGGCCAAUCCUUGAUUGCUUCAAUCUUUCUAGGAUCUACGGCUAUACCAGCUUCUGAAAUCACAUGUCCCAGAAAUGCUACUUCGCAGAGCCAAAACUCACAUUUCUUCGACUUAGCAAAGAGCUUCUUUUCUCGAAGCACUUGUAACACCAAUCUCAAAUAAUUUUCAUACUUCUUGUCAUUUCGGGAGUAAAUCAGUAUGCCGUCGAUGAACACCACGACAAAUCUGUCUAGAUAAGGCUUGAAAACACGGUUCAUUAGAUCCAUAAAAGCUGUCGGAGUAUUAGUAAGCCAAAACGGCAUAACAGUAAACUCGUAAUGUCCAUAUCUUGUUCGAAAAGCCAUCUUUGACACAUCCUCAAGCUUAAUCUUGAGCUGAUGGUAUCCUGAGUGUAAAUCAAUCUUGGAAUACACCUUUGAUCUUUGCAGCUGAUCAAAUAAAUCGUCAAUUCUCGGCAAUGGAUACUUGUUCUUGAUUGUGACUUUAUUAAUCUCGUGGAUAGUCCACACACAAGCGAAAUGAUCUGUCCUUUUUCUUGACGAACAAAAUCGGCGGUCCCCAAGGCGAUACACUCGGUCUGAUAAAACCUUUGUCCAACAGAUCCUGCAACUGUGCCCUCAGCUUCUUCAAUUCAGCUGGCGCCAUCCUACAGAGUGCUUUUGAGAUUGGGGUAGUUUCAAGAACAAGAUCUACCACAAACUCAAUUUUUCUAUCAGGUGGCAUACCUGGUAACUCCGUUGGAAACACAUCACUAAACUCCCGUACCACCAAAAUAUCAUCAAUCUUAGAGAAAUCUCCAUCCCUCACAAUAAUACUAGCCAAGAAGGCUACACAACCCCUCCUAAUCAACUACCUAGCCCGCGAAGAGCUAAUGGUCAUCGCAAACUGUGAACUCUGACAUCCUCUGAAUGCUACCUCAUUCUGUCGCUGUUCUCGAAAGGUCACCGUUCUAUUCUUACAAAUAAUAGCAGCAUAAUACCUGGUAAGCCAAUCCAUGCCUAAUACCACAUCAAACUCGCCAAGCUUAUGCACUGCCAACAAAUCAACAGGCAUAAUCCAAUCCCCUACCUGAACAUGGCAAUUAGGGCAGAACUUCCGAAUAUCCAAGAUAUGGUCGGGUACAAUAACUCGUCUCGGAUGCAAAGUAGGUACUAGCUCAAUGCUAUACAACUUGGCAAAUAGCUGAUCAAUAAAUGAAUGCGAUGUACCGUAUCAAAUAAUGCACAAAUUCUGAUGUUAUUAGUUAAAAUGAUACCUGCAACGACCUCCUCUACUGUUGCUGCCUCCUCAGUUUGGGCUGCAUAUAUAUGCCCACUCGGUGCCUAGAGCGAUCCCUCAGACUGUCGCUGGACGGGCGGUCGCCCAGUCUGGUAAUGCAUGGAUGGAGUCCUCUGACUCGGAGCCGGUGAAGCGGGUGCCGACACAGAUGACGUCGCUGGAAAAGAACCUCUCUGGCACUCGGAACGGAAAUGGCCCUCCUGACCAUAAAGAAAACACUUGCCCCCACGUUGUGAACACUGCGAUGGGAAGUGAGAACCGCCACAGAUCACACAACACGGUGCCCGACGAUGAUCCGGUGCUCCGCGGGUCGUAGUAGAGUCAUGCCCUCAAGACUAGCCCCUCGGAUGCUUCGGCGGCCUCCUAGAGUGUGUCUGACUGCUACCCUCGGCCGCUUGCUUUUUACCCUUUCCUCGAUCAAAUGCCUCUCUUUCCACCUUAGUAAUCUCCGCGCCUUUCUCCACAAUAAACGCGCGGUUCACCACUUUGUAGGCAGAUUCGACGCUUGAACCAACCUAAAGAUCAACAGUCGAAGAUCGAAAAUACAGGCCUUAUCCUCAUCAUCCCUGACCACGAACGACACACAAUAAAGAAGCCGAGAGAACUCCCGCUAGUACUCUGCCACGGUCCUGUUCCCCUGUCGCAAACCACGCAGAUCUCUCUACAUCUGCCGCUUGACAUUCUGAGGAAAAUAUGUCGACAACAGUAAUUCCUUAAACCUUUUCCACGUAAUGGCCGUCAGGUCAAUGUUACGAUCAUCGCGAAUAUCUGUUCACCAACGAUAGGCCUCGCCAUCCAGGUAAUGUGUGGCGAGCCAAACCUGUCCUGCUUCUCAACAAAAGUGUCAUGAAAUAGCUUCUCUAUAUGCAUCAACCAUUUCUCUACAAUCUAAUGAUCUGUCUUUUUUCCGUCAAAGAUUCGGGUGUUGCACCUCCUCAAUUCGUUGAGGCGAUCCAUCAGUCGAUCUCGCUCUUCCCUAGAUACCAUCAUCGGUAAUAAGUACCUACUGUAGCCAUAUGAAUUGGCAGUGUCACCACUGUCUCCUCCCUGGGCUCAGUACUCGGGGCAGGACUAGUGUCACGAGUGGAGUGAAUCCCAGUUGCUCGGGGACCAAUCGCUCUAUUCGUACGAAAAGGAUGACACGCGCGACAAAGUGAUUAAAACGCAGCGGGCACGCGCACGGUGUCACCGGCCGUCACGAGGCUUUCCACUCGUGCCGGAGGCCGUGCGGCUCUGGUCAGUCGCCCUCAGAACGGAACCGACAAACUGGAGACCAAACGCAACAGCCUGGUAUUUUCGCGGCUUUAGCGUACUUUAUUACGCUAAAGUCCAUAAGUCCUCCCGAAAAUACGUAAAACCAAGCAGCAUCGACAACAACCGUCGUUCACAACCAACUCCUAUUGGAGACCUGACUAACAGGUUCCGGGAUCUGGGAACGCUUCUAGCUUUUACGUAAAGGCCACGCAAAAAGCCGCUUUAGGCGGCUGCCUUGCGCCCAAGCCAAGCCUUAAUAAGGCUGCCACGAAGCACUCGAAAACGCAUCAGCGACUCGGAACAACAGACCAGUGAACGCAGUAAAGCUCUCAAACCUUUACUGCCUACUCGCUGCCACCCAAGGUCACAGCUUAAUCUGUGAAGGCCCUUGGGCUUAGCUUUGCUAAUAGGCUGCUGUUAACAAAGCUGUGCUCCUCAACACAAGCGACGGUACUACGUACUAAUAAAUACAAAUCACCGUCGUCCACUGAGCAUCGAGCUCAGCCAUACAAGGCCCUGUCAAGCACCGAGGGCCGCCUCAGGGGCACGCUAAUGCCCUGAAGGCCGCAUAAUGCCGCUAGCCAAACCCUUUGGCUAGAGGUACCCAAACGAACAUCCAACACCUAAAUCACCAAUAGUCGACACCCAAUCUGUGAUUGGGCCACCUGGAAGGAAUCCAGGCCAACUGCAGGAAAAUGUCAGUCCUCUGUCCGCGUCGUAAACAUGUCCACCCAUGAAGCUAGGCUUCAGCCAUGUCACCACGUGCGAGCCACUAUAAAGAAGAUAGGGAUAAAAAGACAACGGUAAAAGCAUAAUAUAUAACUCGAACGUAGGGCAACAAAGAUAAUAUGAGAUGAGUAUACAAAGAUACGAAUCAUAGUACACAUCCUCAUCUCAUCAAAUAGGUAUACACUAUGGCCACUGGACUAACCAGCCAAGAGCAUAAAGCAAAGCCACUGGAUCAACUAGCCACGAAAAUAGAAUAUAGACAACUGGACCAACCAGCCAACAACGUAAUACAUAACCCAACCAGAUAAACAACUGAAGACAGCAAGCUACUGGAAACUCCAGCCACAUGGGACUCCCCAUCCUAACAGCCGACCACGACUGCCAUCAAGACCUGAUAUAGCUUAUGUGAGGACACUGAAUAGCCAGCCAAGAACGCAAGCACGAAAAUCAACUGUAGCUCGUCAUAGAUGUAUGAUAGAAAUAAAUGAGACGGAUCAACAAGAUACACAUCAUAGACCAUAUCCCCAUCUCACCUACCGUAAGCAUAUAUGAUGUGAACACUGGACCAACCAGCCAAGAGGAUAAACGUAGCCACUGGACAAACCAGCAAGCAAUGAAAGGCAUGUAACUGGAUAGAGCCAGCCAAGUGCAACAAUGAACUACUGGAUGUGCCAGCCACACGGGUCUCCCCGUCACUAACAGCCGACUAACGGCUGCCAACCGAUAACUAGUAUAGGCGUAACUAGCGGUGUCGAGCUCACGUAAAGUGCAUGUGGUCGCCCAACUAGGGGGCGUCCUCCCACAAGAAAAGGCCUUUUCACCAGCAUGUAGGCUGGGCACUCGGGUCGCCACAAGAGAGACACGAUCCCAAUGUUCGGUCCACACUCGUCCAUCACCGAAAACGGACUCCAGGAACCUGGCUGUGCCGCCAAAUCUAAACCAUGAAAACCUGAAGAGCAGGCCAACUGCGUAUAUCGAUAUCAUCGCCAACAACGUAUAUAUGAAUAUCAAGGAAGAAAUGUCAACAGAACGAUGAUAUCAAAACUAUAGGAACAUACGAACGUCAACAUGUAAUGUCAUCGCCAUCAACACGAAAGUAUAUAUAUAGAGUAAGCAAGUACUAGCAACGAUGACAUAAAGUGAAUGGGAAUAUGAUAACAAAUAGAAGGACUAGGCCACUCAUGAGGAGCGGAAGAAGCCGAACGCCAUGGGUGACCCUCCCCUCUGUACAAAUGUACAAGAGUGGAGGGGGUGAUAAAAAGUCCAUAACGUCCGCAACUCAAAACCCUGCUCUGCACUCCAUGCAAGCAUCGCCAACUAUCUCGAAGGCUGGGUCCAAUAGCCAAAUCAAAAUAGGGAUAAUAGGACAACAAUAUCGAAUCAGUCAAAUAUACCAAGUCAUAAAAAUAAUGUAACCAUAUACACCUAAAAGUACUUACAUAAUUUUCCUAAAGACUUAAACCAUUUUAUUUUCCAAAAGAUGGGGAGCACCAUCGAAGAUAUUUUUUAUUUUCAAAAGCGCAUACCUUGUCAAAAGUUUUCUAAAAAGCACCUGAAAACAAAUUUGUAGCUUACUUUUUGGCGCCACACUUACCACUUACGUACUUACAUAUCGAUAGACAUAUAAGUAAAUCAACACCAACAUAUGACAAACAUGGAAACAUGAACACACUGCGGCACGUUUAUGGCCCCUCUGAGACAGGCACACUUGUCACCUAAGGUACAUAAACACCGCCUAGACCGUAUGAGACCCCAGUCCAAAAGUUUUUUUUUUAAAUUUACGAAAAGGCGACACAAAGUUUGAUUUUCCCCUGGGGCCCCGCACUGUAAAAUAAAAUGUUUUAAGUGUUUGGUCAAAUAAUAUAAGUACUUUUGGGUAUAAAAGUUUACAUUAUUUUUUUUAUGACUUGGUAUAUUUGAUAGAUUCGAUAUUGUUGACUUUAUUAUCCCCAUUAUUGAUUUGGCUUUAUUGGACCUAGCCUUCGAAAUAGCUGGCGAUGCAUGGAAUGCAGAGCAGAGUUGGGAGUGGCGGGCGCUAUGGACUUUUUACCACCCCCUCCAGUCUUGUACAUUUGUACAGAGGGGAGGGUCACCCAUGGCGUUCGGCUUCUUCCGCUCCUCAUGAGUGGCCUAGUCCUUCUCGAUAUGUUGUUGUGCCCAGUCACAUUUAUGUUAUCCUUGUUAUCAUUCGUUUUCUCUACAUAUUCCAUUACUUGUCUAUAUGAUUUAUGUCAUCGUUGUUUGACUUUCUUUCAUUCUUGAUCUGACUUAUUGCCGAUGGCGAUGACAUUGACCUUGGCUUUCGUAUGUACUUAUAGAUGAUAUCGUCGUUCUGUUGAUAUUUCAUUCUUGACAUUCAUACGUACGUUACUGACGAUGAUAUCUGUAUACGCAGUUGGCCAGUUCUUCAGGUUUUCAUGGGUUAGACUUUGGUUACGAGAGAACCAGUCGUGGCGUCUGGAGUUCGGUCACGGUGAUGAUGAGAGGUCACGUAUAUUGGGGAGAUCCCGAGUGCCCAACAGUGGUAAGUUGGUGAAAAGGCCUUUUCUUGUGAGGAACGCCACCUAGUCUGGCGGUCACAAACACUUUACGCUGCUCAUGGCCCGCUAGUUACGUUAUACGAGUUACUAGUUGGCAGCCGUUGGUCGGCUGUUAGGACGGGGGGUCCCGGGUAGCUGGCGUAUCCAGCAGUUGACAUUUCUUCGUGUUCUUGGCUGGUGAGUCCAGUUGAUCCUACCCUGUUAUAGUUGUAGGAGAGUUUGUAUACGUUUAUGACGAGUUACUUGGUGUUCCUGACUGGUGAGUCUAGUUGAUCCUAUACUUUGAGCUGGUUAGUGCAGUGUUCAUAUUCUAUACUUUGAGCUGGUUAGUAUAGUGUUCAUAUCCUAUACUUUGCGCUGGUUAGUGCAGUGUUCAUAUCCUAUACUUUGAGCUGGUUAGUGCAGUGUUCAUAUCCUAUACUUUGAGCUGGUUAGUACAGUGUUCAUAUCCUAUACUUUGAACUGGUUAGUACAGUGUUCAUAUCCUAUACUCAUCUCAUAUUAGUAGGCAGCCGUUGAUUGGCUGUUAGGGUGGGGAGUCCCAUAUGGCUGGAGUUGCCAGUAGUCUGUUGUUUCCAGCUCCUUGAGUGGCUUAUCCAGUGUUUAUGACUUAUGAUCUUAGCUGGCUGAUCUAGCGAUUAGAGUGUCUAUUAGUGUCUUAGCGAGAUGAUAUUUAUACUUUGUCCCAUACGUUUUAUCGAUUCAUCUCGUUGUUUCUUUAUACCAUAUUGAUGAGAUGAAGAUGAGUACUAUAUUUCUCUUGUUGGCUCAUCUCACAUUGACUUGUUGUACCACGAUCCGAGUUGUGAUAUGUAGUUCUAUAUAUAUACGAUCUAUUAUUGCUUUCUCGUUUCCAUUCUUUGGUAGUGGUCGCACGUGGUGACAUGGCUGCAGCCUAGCUUCAUGGGUGGACAUGCUUACAGCGCGGACAGAGGAUUGACGUUUUCUUACAGUUGGCCUGGAGUCCACCGCUGCUCCUCGCCGCCGCCGCUGCCGCCUUGGUUGGGUCGGGCGUGAUCCAAGCCGAGCCCAGGUCCCACCGUGCGUCGAGAGCCGCCGCCGGCCCCGUGGAGCCCGGCUGCCACUCCCCAGCGAGCUCCAGCCUCCUACUCCUCCCUCCGUCGGCCGCUCCCGCCGCCGUUGGGUGCCGAGCCCGCGCCGGUGGGCUCGAACCGAGCCAGUCCUCUGGCCCCGCCGCCGCGGGUGUCGCGCGCCGCCGCCACCGCUGGAGAGGCCUGCCCCACCCCCACGGCCUCCAGCUCUGCCUCCAGCGUUCCUACCUUUUUCCCACCGACGCCGCGCUCCCACCUCGAUGGUUCAGACGAGCCGGGCUCGUCUGGACCCCGCCGACGUCCUACCGGCGUCGCCGCCGUCGUCGGGCGUCCCCGCCGCCGUCAGCCGCUCCUCCCUACGGCCCCGAGGCCCCUUCUGCCGCCCUCGGCAGAGUCCGCCGCCGCCGCGUGCCGACGACGACCUUGAGCCGAGCUGGCUCGGAACAGGGUCCGACGCCGUUAGCCGGACCCGCCGUCGCCGCUGCGAUCCGCUGCCGCCGCCAGCCGCCCCUACGAGCGGCCUCGUGCCCCGCUGUGGCCGUCUCCCAGACCUCCACCGCCGUCAGAGCCCGAAGGAGUGUUGGGCUCUCUUCUCUCUCUCUCUCUCUUUCUUCCACCGAGGCCGCCGCCGACCGGCCGACCCCGAGUCAGCCGCCGCCGGCUCCCGCACGCGUCGUCCACGUCCCUUUGCACUCCCUCCGCCAAUUCCUUCUACUCCCCUGGUUCCCAAUCCCAAAGGGCCUUUUGGGAUCUUCGGAAAUUUAUGCUAUCCGCUAUUUAGCGUGUUUUCAGGGACGUUUGAGCUAUAAAGCAAGGCUCAGGGAGUGUCGAACUUAUUUUACAUGCUUAUGGGGAGGUGCACGCUAGAGUGCGUUUUGCCAUGUAUUUUAUAGCGCUGAAAACGCUUUAAUGGCAAAGCGGUAAUGGCUGGAGAGGAGCUAGUUGCACGCUAGAGGCGUCUAGGCAGACAGUCUAAACGCUUGCCUAACGUGGUCACGCUAAUCGUGCUGCCUCUGUUGUUUCGAUGGUUAAGCAAAGUGGUGCUAGUUGGUACCUAAGUGCUGUUUUAGGUUAGAAAGAAAGGUUAUCUUCCUUAUUGUGUAUUUAUGUAUAUUUUGUACAUAAAAAAACCUAAAAGAGCUUUAGGCACGUAGUUUGAGUUUUAGACAGUCGCGGUCAUCAAGGUCUUAUCGACUUGGCCAGCUUUGCUCGAUAACCUAGCGAUACUUGCCUCAGGCUAUGCGCAUCUUUCGGUUGAGAUGAGGCACCGAAGUGGCUUUUUGGCCUCAAUGAUAAGUGAAUUCAUUUUUGAUUAUUAGCGCAUUGAAGAGGUAAAAUCGAGUAAAAGAGGACUUUGAACUGCUCACGAAUACAUUAAUUUAAUGUGUGUAUUUGUAGUAGUUGUCUCUCAAAUCAACGUGACAUUUUUAGAGUCAGGAAUGUCCAAAGAAGAAUUUCAAGGCCACUCCGACUUUCAAAGAUAGGAAUACAAAGCUUGCGAGAUGACCCAACCGAACCCAACAUCCAAGUGACCCGAAGAAUAGAAAUCGAACUAAGCUGAAAAGAUAGGAUUACCUAGAAUUCUGUAUUAAGUCCCUAUCGAUAGAGAUUAACACCAAUUUUAGCAAACGUACCAAGUUGGUUCUCCCACCGUUGAAUAGAUAUUCCGCCGUAGAUUCUUUGAGAGUAGUUCUAGAUAUGGUGAUCUAGAUUUGACGACUUGAUAUACGAGUUUUAAUACUUCGAUCAGUCUGUAUCUGAAUAAUAGAUGGUUGAAUUUAAAUUAAUCUAGACUGCGUGCCAUAGAGAAGACCCAUCCUAGUUGAACUGGUAUGAACAAAAGAUUCCUACAAGUUUCAAAGGAUCGAUAAAAUCGUAAUAUCAUAUACAGUAUGUUAAACAAUCUAUCCCAUGAUUCUUAAGCCAAAUUUGUCUCUAUCAACUAGUACAAUUCCAGUUGUCUUCAUGUCGAGAUCCACAUCUAUAUCAACGUCAAAGUCCCCUCCCUCCUCAUCUAGGUCGGACCCGAACCGAAGCUCAUUGGCUAGAUAACUGACGUUAGACCCAACGUGGAAAUCCACGCCUACGUAACGGUAAGAGCCGUUUUAGGCUCUAUCGUCUUUGGUCGGGUUCACACCACUCGGUUUUGGAGUAAACCAAAACAGUGGAGAAUUUUAAUACUGGUAGUUUUGACUUUCCAAAGUGGCUUAGGACGCAUUAUUUUUCAAACAAGUGUUUAAGUGUUUAUUAGCAUGACAUUACAGUGUUCUGACAAAACUUAAAAUCUUCUUAUUGUUAAGUCCUUCUAAUACUUUAUAAUUAAACGUCCUUUCUUUAUAAAAUAAAUGACAUUAUUUUCUUUGUCUUUCUAAUUUAAUUUUUAAAAGUGAAGAUCUAACAACCUUUUAGAAAGACUAGAAAAUAAUUUUAUAAGAAAUUUUUAUUAAGUUUUAGAAUUAAAGUCAAAAUCUUUUUAAGAUUUUUUUAAUUUUUUAGAGCAGCCGUACGAAAAUUCCACCGCGUUCUACUUGGGUUGUUCGAAAUUCUCUAGGUCGCUUUAUAAUCUUUCGAGUCGCUUUUAGUCGUUUUUUCUAGUUACCGCUCUUUUGUCUUCUUCCGCUCCCUCUCCUAUCCCAAAACGAGAAUCCGUGCGGGUCCAAGUUCAAUUUGAGUACGUUGGAGCAGGUUAUAUACAUAGGUUCCAUUCCUAGAACAAAGUUAUGCAGUAAAGAUACAUCGCGUUCUAUUCAGAUUCUAAUAUGCCUUAUGCUUAAUCUUAAUCCUAUUUCUAUUUUGGUUUUUAUUUUUAUUUAUUUUAUUUGGCCCACGUAUCUGGCGUGCGCGGCGGCGGGCGGGUCGGACCGAACACGAGCACGCAAAUCAGCUCUUGUAUUGAGAGUAAAAGAAGGUUUGUUGAUCGAACUCUUACUUCGUUAUAUAUUUAUUGUUGUUAUGUAGGAAUCAAAAAUGACACCCUGAUUUGGAAUGUAUACUUUUGGAAUCAACCCGAGAAUCCGUUCCGGGUAGUUCAUAACUCAACGGGUUCUCCGGAUUAUUCAAAAUUUAGUGUUUUUUGCGUUAUUUAAGAUUGUUUAUUAUUUCGGAUAAGAUUUAAGUAAGCAAAAUAUUCUUACACCCAAUCUAGGAUGGAAGUUAUAAAUUAUGUAAGAGUAUAAUAUAAAUUAUCUAAUUUAGGGGUAGAGGAUGAAGUGAUUAAUAGGACGUACGCUUAUCCUCACAAUAAAUAUUAAAACUGUAUAAAGAAUGAACUAACUAGAAAAUAAACAUAUGGUAUUUAAAAUAGUUAGAAAACAGCUAAUAUGAAAAUUAAAUCAACCGAUAUAAAAUUUAUUGUUAUAAUGAGUUACCUUUUAUUUCAAUUUCAUAAAUAAUUUCAUAAAUAACUUUCUUUACUACUUAUUUACAUAUCAUGUAUAACUAUACGAUCCAAAUACAUUAUCAAUUGGGAGUUAUAUUUAUACGUAUCUCUAAUUUUAUUUUGAUCAAAUCUCCGAGAUUGUGGUUUUAACUUUCAAGGUUUUGGUUUAUAUUUGUGUUAACUAACAAACUCCUGAUCACCACGUUAAAUAGUAACAAAAAAAAGUUUCUAAUCGAUGGGUAUUACACUUUUGAUAAAUUUAGUAAUAAAAAGAUAUUUUAAUAUUUUAACUGAUUAAUUAUGUAUAACACCGCAUAACACUGCGGGGCUGAAGGGUCCCCCAUAGAGACGCCCAAUUUCCCAGCCGACCAUUAACCGAGACUAUGGUUUACAUUGCUGGGUCGGGUGAUCGUUGUUAUUGAGCAACCCAGGUUUGGUGGUCGGGUUUUACGAAUUCGGGUCAAUAAUAAUGAUCACAGAUUCAGAGAAUAUUUGGGUUACUGUUGGGGUAAGGGUAGGCUACACCCUAAUAACCCCACAGUGUGCAUACGAAUUUAUAACGUUCUUUUCCUCUCGUAUUUAGAAUGUGAAAAAUAGAAGUUUAAAUAUUUUUUUAUUUUGUUGAAUAUUAUUUUUUAUUUUUUAAUUAUACUACUAUUUAUUUGUUGGUUAUCGGAAUGCUAACUUUUUUGUAGUUUACAUGUGGAUUAAAAUCACGUAUGGUCAACAUAACGAUGAUAUCGUUUACUUCAUAGUUCUCAAAAAUAAUGAUAACAAUGUUAAGUACUAAAUGAUUAGAUAUUGUACCUACAUUUUUAUCAUAAAGCUUUACUCUUGGAUUUACUUGUUUAAAUAUGCCUGGUUGGGCUCCCUAACUAGUAACUCAGACCCAUUCUUUUAUUUCAGAUGCUUGUUAUUUAGGGAAGUAUCUACUUUUGUCCGUAGAUCUACCACCUGACUUUUUAAACUAAGAAUGUACUGAUUUUUAGUGAAAUUUAGUUUGUUCACACUAUUCACGUAGAUAAUGUCUUGAAAACGUUUCAGCGCACAAUAACAAUCGGAACUACAUUUUAUUAAACGAUUAAAAAUCGUGGUUGUAUUUACAAUACCCAUUUAACGUAACAAUGGGGGACUUGAAAACCGUUUCAAAGUGAAAUGGGAGCUUGAGAAUUUUACCUGUAGAUUGGAGGAUUUGAAAUUAUAAAAUAAGUAUAAUGGGGAAGGCAGUUAAAAGGCAGUUCGAGGCAAUUGGCUUUUGACUGCCUUCCCCAUUUUACUUACUUUAUAAUCUCAAAUCCCACGAUCUACAGAUAAAAUCCUCAAAUACCCCAAUUCACUUUGAGCGGUUUUCAAGUCCUCCAUCGUUACGUUAAAUGGAACAUCCUGAGAACUGAUAUUCAAUAAAAUAAUAUUAUACAUUGAAUACCUAACUGAUGAUUGGGAAUUCAGUCACUAGUACGAACUAAAACUUAAAUAUAUAUAAAAAAUAGGAUUUUAUUUAGUAUGGUAUUAAAUAGGAUAUAAAAUAACAUAAUUUUAUUUUCGCUUUCUUUAUUUAAUCUCACCGAAUUUCUAUUCUUUUCUCGCUAUGAUUGAUGGAUGCUACGAGCUUGUGAGAUGACAGGACAACAUGAGCGAUUAUACCAACUAAAUGUUAUCCACAGGAGUGACCCUAAAUCUCUAAAAUUAAGAGUCAAUUAAAAGACAUAAUGAGCAAACAAGAAAAAUAGAAAUCUUCGAAACAAUAUCUUUUACGUCAAUAAAAGAUACUUUGAUACGUUACAUUAAAAUAACCUCGGAUGUUAUUUUAAAAACAUGAAGUAAAGUCAAUUAAUUUUUAAAAAUUAUAUUUUUAUAUUUUAUUAUAAAAUAAUCUUUUAUGUAAAUAAAAAAUACUUUGAUACGUUAUAUUAAAAUAACAUAGGAUUUUAUUUUUAAAACAUGAAGUAAAGUUGGUUAAUUUUAAAAAAUUAUAUUUUUAUAUUUUAUUAUAAAAUAUUAUAAAAUCUUAUACUCACACAAACUGGAGACCUGACUAACAGGUACUAGGACAUCGAAAGCGCCUUUAGCUUUUCAGCUAAAGCCACGCAAAAAGCCGCUUUAAGCGACUUUCUUGCGCCAAAGUCAAGCUUAAAGAAGGCUGCACCAAACAAAUAGGACACUUAACAGCGACUCGGAACAACCGACCAGUGGUAGUAGUAAAACACCCAAGCCACUACUACCCACUCGCUGCCACCCAAGGCCACAGCUUUAUCUGCGAAGGCCCUUGGGCAUAAGCAUGUUAAUAAGCCACUAUUAACACAUCACCACAAUAGAACACAAACGACGGUUCUGUAGGUUUAACCACACAAAACACCGUCGCCCACUGAGCACCAUGCUCAGCCACUCAAAGCCCUGUGAAUCACCCAAGGCUGCCGCAGCGCCACACCACUCAGACAACAAACAAAUAGCAAGCAAGUAGAUGUAGAGAAACUAACAUAAUACAAUCAACACCUAUCUGUAUAUCCCGUCCGAACGUAUAUAUGACAUAUAGAUACCUGGAACCCAGGUCCGUUGUGUAGCUGAGGAAACAGUACACAAAGCUAGACCAACUAGCACCAAGCCGUAACAUGCGGGAACGUGAACCGAAGCCGGUACCGUGACCAGAGAAAAACGGCCAAAAGCAAAACUCGUAUAGUCGUACUAAAUCAGUGUCGUGACACAUAAAAUCUGUGAUCCAAACAGUGCGGGGCCCUGGGUCGCCUUCGGGCGGGCCGUGCACGGGUCUGGGCGGUAUGCAGAUUUUGUAUAUUCCGCAGAUUUUUGUUGUUAUUGACUGACGAUCACCGUGCUCACCUCCGGAGGCAUCGGAACAGCCUCAGGUCGCCGGAACAGUGAGUAGAACAGGAAACACUGCGCAGAAAGGCUGAAAACAAGCUUACCGGCCAGGGGAGAGCUAGGCUUGGCCGGCGGCUGUCGGAAGGCGUGCGCUCCGGCUGGGGAAGGGGGCGGAAGGUCGAAGGGGUCCGGGGAAGGUGCUGGCCGGCGGUGGACGGCAGCCGGUGGCGCGGCGGUGGAGAUCCAACCCGCCUAGCUCCUCUCGGGUUCAAGGGCACCGGCGGCAAGGCGGCGGCCGGAGGAGGUCGGGAUGACGACGGUCUGUCGGCGGUGGCCAAGGGGAAGGUGAUGCUCCCGUUAGUGGGCGGCGGCGACGCUUGGAAGACGAGGGGACUCGGCAACGGCCCGCACGGGUCAGGGCGGCCGCAGGAUGGAGGAGCGGCGGCCGGCGGUCCACGGGGAUGGCCGGGAUGGCGAGCGGCGGCGAGCGGGAGGUCGCCGGAGGCCGUGGGAGGACGCAUGGCUGGCGUGGAACGGUGGCGGCGCGGGGAGGCAGAGAUCACCCAAGCUCGGCCCGACUUGGCCGCAAGUGGCCGCAGGGGCCAAAACGGCGCCGGCGGAGCACGGGACCGGCGGGGGCCGGCGGUGACGACGCCGGGGAAGGCGGCAUAGUCGUCCAAAGGCGACGGCGGCUCGUGGAGGCGGUGCGGGGCCAGGCUCGGCCUGAGCUAGGUCAGGCUCGGCAGCAGGGCGCCCAGGCCGCGACGGCGGCGCAUGGGGACGGCGGCGGCCGGCACGGCUGUAAGGACUGAGAUUUUUUACAGUGCAACUAAACUCUCUGUUGAUGAUGUUUAUGUGUGUAAUUUAAUUACAUAAGCACUCGUCAAGUUUCAGGAGAAAAUGAGCUAGAACGGAGAAGUUACGCAAUUAUUAGUUUUCACUUAAAGUGAAUAGUAACUCCGGAUUUCUGGAGAAGCCCCGGGGUAGAAUUGGCUUUCGGCGCGUAUCGGACUCCGAGCAUAGGACUCCAAUAGCUCGUUUCGACCGGUUCAGCUGUUCUGGAACCAAUGGCACUGACGGAUUUCUGAUCUAAUGCACGGUUUUCGACAAAAAGGAGUUUUACCGAAAAGAGGGUUUCCGCUCUUUGCUUUUCUGUGCUUUCUAAAGCUUCUCGUGCUCCGUACUUGUGACCUGGAGUAGGGGGAAGGAUGUUUCGGGUCCCUACUAGUGGUAGGGAAGUCAAUUUCUAAUGCGAAAGUUGGUUUAAUGGGUUUACACUUUGGUAUACGUACGAUAUAUGGAUUAAUUAGAGAGCGGAUGGGUUCCGUCGCGAAUCUGUGACCAAAUUGGAUGAAACGAAAUCGUAGUUUCGAUGCCCCCGUUGUACUGAACACGAUGGCUCAAUCGGAUCGGAAAUCCGACGGACGGAUCUUUGGGAAUCGUGAAAAGUCCGCUGAGAGGUCAUGUUGGCAAAAUCGAUUAUUCGCGAAAAUGUCCAAUAUUUUAUGCAUGGUCUUGCGCGAAUUCGAACGUCGAAGGACCUAUGCGCAUAAUCCACAUGCUGGCGGGGGGCUUGGUAAGAAUUACUGGACUAGGAGGGGGUUCUCCGCAAUUGUACACAUAGAAUAAUUAGGUUCUAGGGUUCAACCAGGGAACCCUGACCCUAAUUAUCUUCCCAAUUGCCCUAGCCGCCCCGCCUCCACCCUGCCCAACCAGUGCUCACGCCCCGACCGCCGGCGAGCUGCUCCGGCCGCCGGAAAAGCCACCCCAACUUUCUCUCGGUUCCCCUCUAGCCCGUCUUGCCACAUCUUCGAUCGUUGUGCUCGGGGGAACAUCAAAGCCCGAGCACCAUCUUCCCCUGGUCGAGACCCAUCCCCGGCGUCCUCCCCCGCCGGCCCCGGCCACCCCCGAGCGCCGCCGGAGCUCCCCCUGCUCCCUGCGGCCAACUCGGGUCAGCCCUGUCCGAGGCGGCUCAAGCUCUGCGACCACGCCUCCCUCUCGGCCACGCUGCCUCCAGUCGGCCCCGGCGACCUCAGGCAACCCGGCGCGCGCGUCCCCCGCCGUCCCCGCGCGCCGCCGGCCGCCGCUGGAACCUCCUGUGGCCGCCCAGCCGCGUGCGGGCCGAGGUCGGCCCUGCUCGGCUUCCAAGCGCCGCCGCCGCCCACCGUGGGGUGCAUCGCCUUCCCCUCGGCCUCCGGCGCCGCACCGUAGCCACCCCGACCUCCUCCGGCCGCCGCCGCGCCGCCGGGAAGCUUGAACCCGAGAGGGAGUUGGGGGAGUGGAUCUCCUCCGCCGCGCCACCGGUUGCCGCCCGCCGCCGGCCAGCACCCUCCCCGGACGUCUCAGACCGGCUGCUCCCAUCCCCGGCCGGAGUGCCCGCCUCCCGGCCGCCGGCGACCAACCCUAGCUCCCACUGCUCCGGUAUGCUGUUUUUGAGUUCCAGCAUUGCAAUUUAAGCUUUCCGGCCACCUUCCCGGUGAUCCGAUGACUCCCCGAGACCUCGAGAAGUGAGCACGAUGAUCUAGGGUUCGUGCUGAACAUCGUGCUCACCUCCGACAGCGGCAAAUAUGCCCUGGUUAAUGAGUUAGUCGCGAACUUCGCGCUGUGCGCGCAGUUUAAUAGAACUUCGCGUCGCUCGUGCGCGCACCGCAGUAGCCGGCAGUGCUCCGAAAGGUGAGCACGGCCUCCGGCACGUCGAAACCUAUAAGUGGGUAUCUUGUCUCGGCUGAUUGACCUCUAAUUUGCGUAGACGGACCAUAAAAGCCCGGAAAACACAUGAAAUAAUGUGAUUUCUUGGAAUCGGGAGGGCUUUUAUGCAAUUUGUUGUGUCGUGGCUGCUGUUGGCAGCAUGGGUGAGCUGUGGGUGACCUCUGGAAUGAUUUUCCAAGGCCCCAGACUUUUACGAAGAUCGGAAAUGCAUUUCCGGCGCGUUUGUCGGCAAAAUCUGUCGACGAAACGCGGUUUUAGUUCGGAAUUCUUCCGACGGUGCCUCGUGAGCAUUUGUUGAGACGCUGAGCUUUGUUGGCUGGUCACUCGCAUCAUUUCGAGGGUUCAGAAAUGACGAGUGAGCGACGGUGGGUUCCGGUGUCGAAAUAGACACUUUCGGGAACCCGGAUCCGAACGAUUAUCCGACGAUAAUUGUUUGGAGGCGGGAUUUUGGGUUUGCUGCCAAGACAUCUUAUUUGAUGUGUUUUGUGGCAGCGGGUGACUCGUAGCACGAGUCGGUACGUUCCGGGACAAUUCGUGGGUCCCGACGGAGUCCCGGUGCGAUUUCGGGACUUCCGGCGAGUUACGAUAGUUGGUUUUAGGAAACCGAUCAUCGUGGGUUUGUUUGCGAGGUUGUGAGAGCUAGUGGUUUGUUAUUUGUGGGUUAGACACUAACCCAGGGGACCCUCCUUAGGUCCUAUUGACGUUCUUUUGCAGUCAGGAGGCAGACGCGACAGUUGUUCAGGUGGGUACUUCGAUCCGACGUUGGUACCGUGGUGCACGCUCGGUGAUGGUUUCUUACCCUUGCUCUUUUGUUAUUAUCCAUGCUUAUAUUAUAGGUUGAGCUUUGCACCUCUAUUGUUUACAUUACACCGACGUGGUUUGAUUAUACUCUACUCAGAUGUUUCCAUGCUUAGUAUCAUGUGUAGGAGUAUAGUCUAUCUGUAUGUGAUACCAUGUUUUCUUGUUGCUCUACUUAGCUAUUCUGCAUACCCUAUUUCACAUUUAUAGUAGAGCGAUUCUGUGAUUAUCUGUGAGAUUAGCGAUCUAGUCGGUCGAUUCUAGUAUUCAGUAUUUGUGACCUAUUCGGUGAGUCCCUCGACCUUUAUUGUCUGAUGACCGUUGAGGUCGGUAUACCCUGAAGGGUGGGAUUGUCGGUUAGUUGCCGACGGAUGAUUAUACUUUAUUCAUAUCCUAUACUUGUGACAUGAUUGGUCGAGUCUCAUAUCCUGUACUUGUGACAUGAUUGGUCGAGUUUCAUAUCCUGUACUUGUGACAUGAUUGGUCGAGUUUCAUAUCCUGUAUUUGUGACCUGGUUGGUCGAUUUGGUUACUUGAUGACCCAUGCGGUCGAUGGGCCCUGGGGGGCAGGAUUGUCGGCUGGUUGCCGACGGUUGAUCAUUGAGCAUAUUGCAUUGAUUGCCCGAUACUCGUCGCAUUUCACGAACACUGGCGGUCUGAUCCACCGCAAGGAGUGUUCUUUUCCGGAAAAGUGGUUGAAUGGUGACAACCCGUGAGCCCUAGAGGGGUUAUAUGCAUGUUAGAGCGGCAGUAGUACUGUCGGGAGGUGUUGCGGUGCGGACCUCCAGGGCAUUGGCUUGAGGUCUGCGGUGCUGACCAAGAGAGCAUUGGUUUCAGAUUGGGUACUUUUGGACUUCUUGACCGGUUGACGCAUAUGUCUAUAGUAGCAGUCGUUGCAUGCAUAGUUACAGUUCUUACUUUAUAGUUGUUUUGCUACUAUAGUAGAUAUUCAUGUAUGCUUUCGGUUCCAGUUACAGUAGCGGUAGCCGUUAUUCAGUCUAGUUCUUACUUUCUGUCAGUUUAUUGCUACCGUAUUCAUUAUAUCUGCUCAUUACCUUAUUAUUGUUGCUACUAUUUCCACUGACCCGCGUUGUUGUAUAGCUCUUCCUGAUCCGGUGAGUACUCCUCGCUUUCUUCGGCUUGCGGUACCCACUGGGAGGGGAAACAUGUUUACAUGUUCUCACCUCCCCCACCAUUUUUCAGGUAUCGCAGGCAUCGUGUAUUGGGACGAGACGCGAGAUACGUACGUAGCGGUCGAUAGAGCUUCCGACCCAAGUUAUUUCGGUAUAGUUAAUACCC
rnacentral:lncRNA from 1 species